GACCUUGUCCUCGGAUUACUGCUUGGGGAGAUGAUGAAGUAUUGGACAUGAAACGAAGAUUGAAAAAAGUUGGUGGAUAUGCAAAUGACAAUGUCAAAAUAUGGGUGAUACAAAAUGAGAUAAGGGAUUGUGUUGAUAGAAAUGUGAUGACAAUGGAGAGGGAGAAUGAUGAGGAGCAUAAAUUUGAAAUCAAUCCAAAUAAAGAUGUUAUUAAACGAGAACACGGUCGGAGCUUAAUGGAGAUGGAUAAAACCUUUGAACAAUUAAAGACACAUCUAAUUGAUUUGUGUCAUGGUGCAA